rnacentral:rRNA from 1 species
AUGCUCGACGACAACAACAUCCUCGCAAAAACAUUCAGAAUGGCAAGAGAUAGAUUCCAAGAAGGAGACUACCAUGAUUACACACUUCAGAUACUAGGCAAAAGGAACGAAACACACAACCUUCCAUCCGCAUUUGAAGUUGCAGCAUUGGUAGUAAGAGAUCCAACCGGAGAGAGUGAAGGACGUGAAAUUGUUGUUGAGUACAAAAAUAUGGAGCCGCAAAGGAUAUUUGAGAUCCACCCGAAAUUCAUGUCCAUGCAAUAUCCGCUGUUGUUCCCAUAUGGAGAAGAUGGUUUUAAACUUGAGAUACCCUACAAGAAAACAAAAGGAGGUACAAACAGCAGGAAAUACAUAACGUUGUUGGACUACUAUGCAUUCUACCUACAGCAACGUCCUGAUCAAGGAAUGUUACUGCUUAAGUCCGGGCAUUUGUCACUGUAA